AAAUAGGACCCUGGGCUGGAGGCUAUUCUCAGAAAACUGGCCAUGCAGUGAGUGACUGCUUUUUCAAAGGUCUGUCUUAAGAGCGGGGGUCUUGGAAAAUAUUUAAGAAUAAUGACUAGGGUUCGGUGGCUCAGUGGAUUGAGAGCCAGGAGGUCCUGGGUUCAAAUCUGGCCUCAGAUACUUCCUAGCUGUGUGACCCUGGACAAGUCACUUGAACCCCAUUGCAUAGCCCUUACCACUCCAAGACGGAAGGUAAGGGUUUAAAAAAAUAAUAAUGACUAGGGGUGGGGUGGAUAAUGUAUGUAUACACCCAUAAAGUUAAUCUGCCUUGUUCACACUUUCUUAAGUCUGGAAGGUCAACAAGCCCUGAUUGGAGGCUCUGCUGAGAGGUAAAUGCUCACCCUGAGAACUCAACAAUCAGCUCUCGGAGCUGCUGCAGCACAGCCCCGCUUAAGAAGGACAUGGAUGUUGACAGCCACUUGACAGACCAAUGACUUCCAGUGUGCCAAGUAUUAGAAAACUGUCUAGAUGAGGCCGUAAGAAAAAUGGACUGUCUGUUUUCCAAAGAUUUUGCCCCCCCAGCAGAACCCUCCCUUGCAAGACUGAAGUAGAGGCAGGCACAUCAAAUGUAUUUAUGCACAUGUUGGAGAUGUCUAACCAAGCACGCCUUGUUCCACAUCUGCAGUCACCCACUCCCUGCCCACAAGAGGGAGGAGGCAUGUUUCACCUUCACUCUUCUGGUCACUGUAUGGACCAGAGCCCUGAAGCCUUUCCAUUUUGUUUUUCAUUACUGGUUCUCCAAGGAGUUUACAGAUCAGGGGUCAUGGAAUCUGAGUUGGAAGAAAUUUCUGCCGGAAUAACUAGUCCAACCAGUACCUGAACAGAAAUCUUCUGUACAACUUCCUCAACAAGGUUUUCUCCCAUCUCUCCUUGAAGACAACUAGGGAUGAGGAACUCACAACCUUCUAUGACAGUAACUUUUGUACAGAUCUAAGUGUUAUGAAGUUUUUCUUCAUAAAGACAUUCUACUAUGGAAUAUAAAGGAAUUACCUGACUAACCUGCAAGAUGUGAAGACAUUUUAUAAUUCAUCAGCAUCAGACACAGGAGAGGCAAUGGAAAGGAAGCCUCUGCAUCAAUCACCACCAAGAUAAAAGCCAGGAGAGUUGAUUAGCAAUUUCCCAUCAGAGGUCAAAUGUAAAAUGGUUAAUUAGAAGACUGUUUUAUGUCAUGAAAAGGCUUGCCUAUCAUUCUCUCAGCCAAUGGCCAUGUUGGUUAUGUCAGGUUACUGAAUUCUGUUCUAUUCAUUCUGUAAUUCAUACCAAGAUUCUUUUUUUUAUGGUUAUCAUUAUUUUCUGUAUAGAAAAUACAAGCAGAUAUGGCAUUAACCAUCGAAUAAAGGCAACUAACACCACUUUUAGUGAUUGAGA
rnacentral:lncRNA from 1 species